UGUGACCCUUUUCAAGCCCUUAUUUAUGUUGAUUUUGAUGAUUCGUGCCUAAACCAAAGACAUCACAAGUGUCCUGGGCUGAGUAGAAAAAGGACUGGUUUGCCGCUCACAGGUACAAAGUCUUCUUUUCAGAUGAAAAAACAACAUUUCAUGGAAAUGAAAGCUGGAAGCUGGAAGCUGCAUGCUUGAUCUGCAGAAGCCAAGUCCUCUGAUAAUUUAGACAAAUGAAUAUGUUGUCAUUUAAAUGCAACAUAUUAGACAGUCAUGAAAGAGAAAUUUGUUGUUUCUUGCAACACCUCUCUGUCGGCAUGUCUCCCCUACAUGGUUUGGUUUGGAUUGGGGAACAGGGCAGGUUGCAAAGCUUCUUGAAUUAGCCCCGAAAAUGGACACAUCAUGUAUUUAUCUGGGAAAGAAGGCCAGCGGAAACAAUGAAAGUUCAAUUCUCUGAUAGACACCCUGCAGCUCUGUGUGUCUAAUCACUGGAGGUUACCCGUGAAUGUUGAUGAGCGUCUGAUGCCAAAAGGAUGUCCAAAUGGUCACAGACGACUGCAACAGCUGCCUGCUUUCUGCAUCUCCGCCGAGGAUUGAGCCGUUGCGGAAGGAAAUGGGCAAAAUAGUGCCUGUAGAGGCUCCUUGUCUCAGCAUACUCUGGAUAAAUUACACUCUCUGACAUAAGAAGUUGAGCAGCCAGAAGAAAAUGUCUGUUUUGGAUCUAAUGUGGUACACAUGAAGACCAGUAAUGAGGAUGGAAAUGAGCCAGUUUACAAGUAGUCAGCAUGUCUAGCAAACACCAGAGGCCAUAACUGGGGGAUCACAAGUGGAAUAAGUGGUCUUACGAGCAGUUACCAGAGCGUCCAACAUGACUGGCGGAUCUCCGGGAGCAGCCUGACGUCGAGUUAAGCGCUGCUGCACAGCCGC